CAAACUGCUGCUGGUUCCUGGUUGGAUUGGAUGUGAGUUCUUUUCCUUCAAGUUCUCUGUUUCUCAUAACGGAAAAUUUCGAAUCUGGAUUCAAAUAUAUGCCUUAAAUCCGAAUGAUUUUCCGCGAAAUAAACUCAAACAUCUUUUUUUUUUGUUUGAGAAAAUUAAGUCAAACAUCUCUUCCCCAAGAACAGUUCGGUACUAGAGCCCAUUUUUGUUUUGUGCGAAGAUAGAGCGAAGGGCCAUUUUCUUUUGGACAGAGCAAAAGGCCUGUUUGACCCGCGCAGCGCAAAUUGAGCCCAUUUAGCAAGGCCCAACUCCUAGGCCAACGACAAAAAAAUGGAAUUCCUAACUGCUACUAGAGUAAUUUCUGUUCUAUUUUGUCUGCCACUCGAUUUUCCUGUUCCGUCAGUCCAGCUCGUCACUCGGCCCCUCGCCCUAAAGGAGGUGUGUGCAUGAGCAGCUUGAGCCCGUUUCUUGUGAUUAUUUCCGACCCGUUAGUGAAUACGGCCCAAUAGCACAUAUGGGCCUUUUCCGGUCUGUAAUUUGUUUUGCUGGGUGUUCGAGCUUGAUCCUGGGUCCGCUCGUGCUAGGCACGCACCAAGAAUUUUUGCUGUCCCUCAAAAAAAAAAAACCCAGAGAAUUUGUUUACCGAUCAAAGAGCUAGGCAAUGGUAGCACUGUUGACUAUUUUUCCCGGGCACCGUCACCGGGCCACUCGCCACUCGCCACCUGGCACCUGCCGACCAAAGCAUCCAGGUGCGCACGGAAGGCGGCCCGUGCGCUUCUUCCCCUCCAACACCACCGUCCACCCCUAUCUCCUUCUCCCUUAAAACCCCACCCGGCUGGCCUGGCCAAACCAUUCGGCAUCCGACUCAUCGAUCGGCGUUCAGGAGCAAGUCGGCGGGUGUUCGAUCCAUUCGGUUCUCGUUCCUCCCGCGCCAUGGCCUCCGCUAGCAACAACGAUGCUGCCCUCGACGCUGCCGUCGCCGCGGACCACCACGGCGGAGCGGCUCGUCGCGGUCGCGGUGGCGGCUUUCCCCGGCUCCCAUACUGCCGCCUCCGCGCCGCAGCCGUCUGCUUCACGGUCUGGGGGGCCGCCGGGAUCUUGUCCACCACCGUCCCCAGCAUCGCAGGGAACCCACACGAAGCCAUGGUAUACUUUAUCCUUUUCAUAGUCGGGGUCCUCCUGCUCCUGCUCCUGCUCCUGCUCCUACUCUCCGUCGCCGCUCCGGGCGAUCUGCCCUAGCUGGAGAGGGCGGCGGGCGUUGCCUCCAGGGCCUUCCCAGCCUCCCGUGCAGGGCCAUGCUCUAGAGGAGGCACGUGCGCAAUCAUCAGAUGAUCCAGAUGCUUCACAAAUUAUUGUCCCUUCUACCACAUACUUUGCUUUGUCGAUUUCCCCAAGUAUUGCUGAUUUGCUGCUGAAUACUAUUUGCCUAUGAUGUACUUUUGUAUGAGUGUUGUGUGUUCGAACUGCUUUGGUCCUAAUCGUAUGGCCAAGCUUAGACCCUUCCAUAUAUUUCACUUGAAUUUGCUGUCUUUAAUAUGCUAUUGAGUUCCAAUGCUAUUACAUUCUACUUUU